AAUGAUGUGUAAAUUCUUUCUCUCAUGCACCACUCCAUUUUGUUCUUUCUCUCUCACUCAGUUUUUCUAGGGUUUUCAUGUGAGAUUGAGCAUGAGAACAUGACAAAAUCUUUCGUAAUCGUCAUAUUCUCUUUGAUUUUCGUUUUGAUUCCUCUCAUACUGGAUCUUUGAAAAAGAAGGAAGAAGAUAGACUGAGCUUCGAAGGUGUAAGAAGAGAGAUCGAGCUUCAAUUUCCAUUUUUUCAUACUUUCAUUUCAUUUUAUUUAUGUUUUCUCUUCCAUUUUGUUUCUGCUUUCACUUCAUUCAAGAACAAUAAAAGUAAC
rnacentral:lncRNA from 1 species